GAACAGGGCUAGGUGAGGGGCAGUAAGAGGGAGUGGUUGGGAUUUAUUGAUUCGUACUUGAGUCUUGGGCUUCUGGAUAAAAACAGAAGGGCAAGCCGGCCUCUUCCUCCUCCCGAUGCAUCCCCUACAUUAGUCGGCAACUCCCCCUCCUUCGUCGACCUCCGACCUCUGCCGUCACCUCGUCGACCACCUCCUCUCCCUCUCCCUCACCUUCACCCCCCAAACCCUAGCCUCCCUAGUCGUGGACCCCGCCACCCCCUCCGGCCCUCGCCCUCCUCCUCCCUCGCCCUCCCCGACCUCGACGACCCCCUCGACGUAGUCUCCCACCUCCUCGACCUCUUCUCCUCCCCCCGCCGUUGCUAGCUUCAAGUCGGAGAAGAAUCACCGCAUCCAUGGUUUGCUUGAGAAUACAUCUGCUCGAGGUUUAUACGUGAUCACCUUGUUAAUGUACAUGGUUCAUGGUGCUAAUUUUUAUUAUUCCUUCUCAUUCCAUCCAUCACGUAGUGAAUUAACAGCAAAUGUUAGCAACCAAGAUUUGCCCAAUGGAGUUCCUUCUGUACCUGUACCUAAUGGUAGCACAUCGGCCUACGUUAGCAAACGAAAAUUUCUCAGUGGAGUUCCUUCUGUAUCUCUUCCUAAUUGUGAUCCAGCAGUUGCUUCCUAGGCAAUGUCGGCAACUCGCCACUCUAGAUAUCGGCUGCUUGUGGUGGUGCUAAUAUAGGAUCAUCUACUUCGAGUUCUCAAAUUGUGGUGGUGAAUUUUGUGAAUUUGAGAUCGAGAAGGUUACUGUGUGUGUUGUUACUAGAUUUCUCCAGGACAUUUUAAUUAUCAUGGUGUAGUGAGUAUGCAUUCUUCA